GCCUAGGUAGUUCAGUGGCAGAACGCUUUCUUGGUAAGAAAGAGGUCGUGGGUUCAAUUCCCACCCUAGGCU
rnacentral:tRNA from 2 species